CAGCCUGUCUUAACCUGCCAGAUGAAUUACUGCUUCUUGAGUCAAAGCAAACAAUCUUGUUCCAGCAGGUCUGAGGAGGAGGAGGAACAAGGAACCUGCUGUAGAAGAGGCCGCAGAAACGCCCAGAGACGGCGAGGAGGAGGAGUUGCAGUACGCCACUGUGAAGGCGUCCAGGAAGUCCAACGUCAGCAGACAGGACAAAUUCAAUGUGAUCUACGCGCAGGUAGCAAAUGGAAACGGAAGGCGAAAUGGGGGAUUGGUCCAGGCGGAAGGCUAAAACAACAGCAGCUGACCUCACUUCCUCUUCCUGUACGGCUAGGAUUCGCUCACCUUCCCAGCAUGCCUUGCUUCGCCCCCCCCGUGACUGCAGCGUGAUCUGUCCCUACAGACACACACGGGACCCAGUCGCAGUCCCCAACCGGCCCAGAGUGGACAGCGGCGAGCUCUGCUGCACCACAAGACCCGACAGAAGAUUCCGCGCUCCCGAAAAAACGCUUGAUCCCUGACAGUUGUCCAGGAGGAGCAAAAAUAAGGAGGCACAGUGAAACAGAGGCAGAGCUGGGCUUUAAAACUAGGAACUUCCUAAUAAGAGAACCGGACCUGAGCCACCGGACCGGCUGUCCUCCUGGUGUAACAGGACCGGACCUGACCCAGCUGUCCUCCUGGUGUAACAGGACCGGAUCAGAACCACCAGACCGGCUGUCCUCCUGGUGUAACAAUCAUCCCUGGAUAAUAACUUUUUUCUUCUUAAACAAAAGAUCAGUUAAUAUAUGUUCAUUUUGCCUUUUGAUUGGGACUGAUGUAAAUUGAAUCAGCACAGGACAAAAAAAUAAAAAAUGAAAAAAACGGACAGAGAG
rnacentral:lncRNA from 1 species